rnacentral:rRNA from 1 species
UCAGUUCGGAUUGUAGUCUGCAACNCGACUACAUGAAGCUGGAAUCGCUAGUAAUCGCGAAUCAGAAUGUCGCGGUGAAUACGUUCCCGGGUCUUGUACACACCGCCCGUCACACCAUGGGAGUUUGGGAAUGCCCGAAGCCGGUGACCUAACCGAAAGGGAGGAGCCGUCGAAGGCAGGCUUGAUAACUGGGGUGAAGUCGUAACAAGGUAUC